GAUGAACGCUAGCGGCAGGCCUAACACAUGCAAGUCGAGGGAGGAGCUUUCGGGCUUCGACCGGCGUACGGGUGCGUAACGCGUAUACAAUCUGCCUUUCACAUAGGGAUAGCCCGAAGAAAUUUGGAUUAAUACCUAAUGGUAUAUAGGGAUGGCAUCAUUUUUAUAUUAAAGCUGAGGCGGUGAAAGAUGAGUAUGCGUUCUAUUAGCUAGUUGGAGAGGUAACGGCUCCCCAAGGCGACGAUAGAUAGGGGUUCUGAGAGGGAUAUCCCCCACACUGGUACUGAGAUACGGACCAGACUCCUACGGGAGGCAGCAGUGAGGAAUAUUGGACAAUGGUCGGAAGACUGAUCCAGCCAUGCCGCGUGCAGGAAGACGGCCUUAUGGGUUGUAAACUGCUUUUGCAGGGGAAGAAUAAGGACUACGCGUAGUUUGAUGACGGUACUCUGCGAAUAAGCAUCGGCUAACUCCGUGCCAGCAGCCGCGGUAAUACGGAGGAUGCGAGCGUUAUCCGGAAUCAUUGGGUUUAAAGGGUCCGUAGGCGGGCUAAUAAGUCAGAGGUGAAAGCGCUCAGCUCAACUGAGCAACUGCCUUUGAAACUGUUAGUCUUGAAUGGUUGUGAAGUAGUUGGAAUGUGUAGUGUAGCGGUGAAAUGCUUAGAUAUUACACAGAACACCGAUAGCGAAGGCAUAUUACUAACAAUUAAUUGACGCUGAUGGACGAAAGCGUGGGGAGCGAACAGG
rnacentral:rRNA from 1 species